AUGGAGAAUAAUACUGAUGGAAUGUUUGGUACACCUGAGCAUAACUCACAUCCUAAGGUUCACAGCUUGAUGUGCAGUGAGUUGAAAAUGAUGUUGGAUAAAGUUACUUCUAUUCUUCCAUCAAUAGAAGCGGCUCAACCAGGAUGUAAAGCAGGCAUAGCGGAACUAUGUAAUCUGUACAGCAUAGUUGACAAAGGGAAACUUAUAAUCCAGAACUGCAUUGAGUGUAGUAGUCUUUAUUUGGCUAUUACAGGAGAAGCAACAGCAAUGCGAUGCGAAAGGAUUAGAAACUCGAUGAGGCGGAGCUUGUUCUUGAUUCAGAAUAUGGUCCCGUCCAUGUUGGCUGAUCAGGUUGCUGAUGUACAUAAUGAUCUCCGAAAUAUAAAAUUCCUUGUUGAUCCAGCAGAAGAAGAAGCUGGCAAAGCGGUCUUGAAGAUGCUUCGACAUUCGGAUGCAACCGAAGAACUUGAAAUGCAUACAUUCCUUCUAGCAUGUUCAAAGUUAAAUCUGACAUCACAGAAAGCUAUGUUAAUCGAAAGACGGGCAAUCAAGAAACUACUAGAUAAGAUCAAUGGCAACGAUCCCAAAAAGGAAGGUAUCCUCAGUUUUUUCCUGUAUCUAGUCAGAAAGUACGGAAAGAACAGCAAGCCUGAAACAGGUGCAAAGAAUGGAACUGUGAAUGAAACUACAUGCACAAAUGUAAUUUCUAGUGACACUGGUGCACGCAGAAAAUGCAUUCCAGGUGUGAACUCUGGGACUGGGAGAUAUGAUGAUCAGAAUAAUUUGUCAGGACUUGCUACACCACCUACAGAGCUCUGCUGCCCAAUAUCUAUGAAGCUGAUGCAUGAUCCUGUGAUAAUAGCCUCUGGACAAACUUGUGAAAGAGAAAAUAUCGAGAGGUGGUUCAGUAAAGGAUACGAUACUUGUCCUAGGACACAAGUAAAGUUAGAAAACUUUACAAUAACUCCAAAUACUUGUAUGCAGGCUGUUAUUUACAACUGGUGCAAAGAACAGAAGCUUGAAUGCACUUAUUUGCCCGAGCAAUUUCAUAAUUACUCCCUAUCAAGUUUGCACGAUAUCUCGGCGCCCCUGAUUGCUGACAAAAACUUUGAUUACAUGGUUGAGCAUAGCGGUUCAUCAGUUGCAUUAUGUAGUGCUAGUUACUUAUCAUCCCCAGUCAGGGAAACGGAUGUGCCAAAGACUAAUUUUACCAGGUUUUAUUCAAAUGUCAAUUGCCAGUUGUAUCUGUCCUUCUGCAACUUCGAUAAGGAAAUGUUUCUGAAUUUGUUUCAAGAGCACUCAGAGCUCCCGGUGGAACUGCAAAGGCAGGCUGUCAAAGACUUAAAAACUGUCCUGAAUAGUAAAAAUGAGGUUUGGCAGUCCAUGAUCUCCAAUGGCUUUUUAGAAGCAUUCCUUGAAUUUCUUAAGAAUGACAAUCUCAGAAGCACAUUACAAGCUCAGAAAACUGGAAUUUAUUUUUUCCUUACGUUUCUUUGCAAUAGCAGGACUAGAAUUUUAUCUAUCACUGAAGAUGCAGUGCGGCUGAUUGUAUCGCUUCUUGAUUCUGAGUUAAAGCUGGAAGCUUUGCUGAUACUUCAUGAACUGCUGCAUCAUCCAAUUUGUCGGGAAUCUCCUCUCAUGGCCUCGCUUGUGGCUCCUUCUGUGGUUGGAGCUUUGGAUACUGGAGACAAUGAGUGCUUGCAGCUCGCUCUAAAGAUGAUCUGCGAACUGUCAUCCAGUAAUGAUGUAAAAUCCUUACUGAUUUCUCCAGGCAUAAUUGCCAAGCGGUCUACAUUGCUCAGUGAAGUAAGCUUGACCGAGUAUUGCUUGAAGAUUCUGCGGAACUUAUGCGAAGUGAAACAAGCUGCUGAUCUUAUCAUCAGAUCAGAGCAUUGCAUCGGUUCCAUUUCAGAUCAUCUAGACACAGGAAGCCGCAGUGAGCAGGAUCAUGCAUCUGUUAUUCUUCAUACGGUAUGUUCCCACAGCACCGAGGCGGAUCAUUUUCUUGUGAUGAAGGAAGGUGUCAUCCCUGCCCUUGUUGAUCUGUCGGUUUAUGGAACUGAGGGGGCAAAAGCGUCUUCAAUCAAGCUGCUUCAAAUCUUGGGGGGCUCAGGGGUAGCUCAUGCUGUCGAUGCUGGAGUAGAGAGCUCACCCAAUGGGUCGAUCUGCAAACAGCCGAUAUCCAAAUCAGCUCGGUAUAUCUCAAGAAAGCUCAGCAUUUUCUCAAAACCCUGGUCACGAAACGUCCUCUGA
rnacentral:rRNA from 1 species